AUGACGCUGGCGGCAUGCCUAACACAUGCAAGUCGAACGGCAGCAUGUCUUGAUCUUCGGAUCAGGAUGAUGGCGAGUGGCGGACGGGUGCGUAACGCGUAGGAAUCUGCCCAAAAGUGAGGGGCAACCAAGGGAAACUUUGGCUAAUACCUCAUAAUCUCUACGGAGCAAAGCUGGGGACCAGACUUGUCUGGCCUGGCGCUUUUGGAUGAGCCUGCGUCAGAUUAGCUAGUUGGUGGGGUAAAGGCCUACCAAGGCAACGAUCUGUAGCUGGUC
rnacentral:rRNA from 1 species